AGAGCCAGGCAGGCGCUCUCUCGAGCGCGGGGACUGGGCACCUGGCAGCGUUGCCCCAGAGCUGGGGACAGCUGGCGCGGGAGAAGCAGAAGCAAUCACUAAAGAAGCCGAACCCGAGUCGCGGGCGGCAACCGGCCUCCAGCUUCGGGAACCUCGGACCCCUGGAGCCGGCCUCCGCCGAGGGCGUCGGGCCCCCGGACCUGGGUGGGGCCGGUUUCUCCCGCCGCUUCAGAGGAGCAGAGCGGGUUUUCUCCCUUCGGGGGAUCCCGGGCUUCGGGGCUGACUCCACCCGGCCGCGGCCGCUUGGAGGCCGGGGAAUCCCCGGGGCGCUUGGCGGGCAGAGGAGCCGGGCGCGGGAGCGGAGCCGUCCACCUGGGACCUGUGCCCGGGGAGCGCUGCGGGCCGGGCCACUCUGAACUGGGGGCGGUCGGCUGCUGUGGGGGAGUCCCAGCCCGGAAGGGAGGACAAUCCUCAGAGUCCCCCGUCUCGCGGAACCGGGGCCGGCCGUGGCUUGAGGGUUGGUCAGAUCCUGGGAUGGGGGGCGGGGUGUUCCGGAACCUCAGGGAGCAUCUGAGUGGGAACGGACGACGAGGAACUCCCCGUCCCCAUGCCUGGCCUGUGUCACGUGCGGGGAUCUGCGGACUCACCCCCGGAGGCUGCGACUGGGCGCUGACCCCACGUCUGGCUGCCCAAAAGAGCAGGGCCGCGG
rnacentral:lncRNA from 1 species